UAUAAUAGUUCUAAACUAUUGUACCAUAGUUGAGUUAAGUUCUAAACUAUUAUACCAUGGUCUGCACUCUGCAGUAGAAAUUCAUGGUUCACCAGCUGCUCAUCAGUUGUAGCCACUAGCCAGUUGCCUAGUUGUUAUGAAAGGAACAAAGGAGAUUGAAGUUCUCCAGUUUUACUGUUGUAGACUAUGAAAUGCUGACCAGUUAUCUGCAGUUUGAAAUCCACCUGCCCAAGACUUAGAUUCAGAGACUGAGAAAACACGAGCUGAAGAAGUUUAGAAAAAAAAGUGCUAUGUAAAAUGACUGAAGAUAUUCUAAAAUCAGUUAAGUAAAUAGUAAAAACUUGUUGUGUCACAAACUGUUGAAAAAAUCUUCUUGACACAAAACUCAUGGAAAUAAAAAUUCAUUUGUGGAUGAAACCAGGCAAUCAAGCUUAGGGAAAUUAUCUCUGAUAAUUUAAUGGUCACGCCUAUUUCCCCCGGCUGCCGGGGGGCGCUAAAGUCAAAAUUGUCUAUUGACCACCGGCUUCGGCUCACAGGGAAACGGUGUAAUCCCACUGAGCUUGCACGAUGCCUAGGUAAUAAGGCGUGCAACAUACGAUACAGCUGGCCUUAUCUUCUUGGCUGUACGUUGACAGAAGUCGAGUCAAAGGAAAACGAUAUUUAGUUCUAUCCUGGAUAAGCCAAGUUUAAAACAGAUGUCAUCACUUUGGAUAAAGCUGGGCGAAACAUAAACAGUCCACAGUGUCCUGUGGCUGCCAGGGGGAAAUAGUACAUUUUGACGUUAAUGCCCUACAACUGCCGGGGGGAAAUAGAUUUUACCUAAUUGAAUAUAAGCUCUUCGUACAUAAGAUAAAGCAGUCAAUCCAGGAAGUUAAUUGGAUUACAAACUAAACUUUGGUGGCCGAAGUACAAAACAAGUAUGGAACAUGACCACGAAAGACACAUUCAAAAUGCUGAAUAGCAGAGGUGACUUAUUCAUCAAUGUAGAUGGUUACAUUUCUCUUGGUAGAGGGAUUAUUGCUAAUUGAGCUUUUAUUACAGUUUUUAUUUUUAUGCAGUGAUCUGAAACUGAGACUGGAACUUCUAAGUUCAAAGCAUUUCCCAUUGUAUUAAUCCAGCAUAUUCAGCUGAAGCAAACAAAUGCAAGCUUAUACAAUUAAGAAUAUUUCGGGGUUUUCAAAGAUUCCCAGUCCAAAAAUAUCUACACUUUAUCUAUAUUAUAUAUAUAUUAUAAAUGUUUUAAAUUCAUUUUUCUAAAUAUUUUGUCUUUGGUACUCGAAUAGGCAACAUCGCAGGAAAGCCCAUGUUCCUGAAGUAUAUCCGACGCCAUUAUGACUGUUGGAUUUCUCAUUUCUCUGAGAAUGUUGUUCAGGACUUCAGAUCUACUUGACACUUCCAUAUCUUGAUCAAUGAACACAUUUUGCAAUGUGUCUGCAACUGUGCUUUGAUCUCCAUAGGAGCUGUGAACAUUCAAAAUUAAUUAAAAUUUCUUUUUCUGCAAUUUAAAAACUGGUUUCACAAACAUAGAAAAUGAAUGGGAAAAAAUGGAAUUAUCCCGUGAUGGAAAUUGGUAGACAAAAUAUAAAAUGGUCUGAAGUUGAACAUAGUAAGCUAAACAUGCUACGCAAACUGGAGUUGCGAAAGGCAGUGGAACGGUGCUCGGAAGAUAUUUCCCAAUCGCGUAGCUCCGAUCCAUUAUGCGCUAAGUUGGCGUUAAUCUUUCUUGUUUUAGAGGAAAUGGCAUGCCGAAUGUUGCGGAGAAAUUUGACCAAAAGGAUGCAUAAGAUAGCAUAGACUCUUCAUUCUCACGGAGAAACAGCGAAUGAAUUGCGUUGAUGAAUUAACGAUCUGCGAUGAUUGCUAAUUAACGAAAGAAUUGUUUGCAGAUGAUAGUAAAUUGCUGAUGAAGCUCCACGAUUCCCAACUACUCAACACAUACUGCGAUGGAAGACCACACUGAGUGGAAGAAAGAGCUCUCCAUCAGUGAGAGGAGGUGAUUUGGACUUGGUGGAAUACCUGAUGUCUUCAACUGUCGCGCCGGCAUCUGUGUUUCUGCUUUCGUUCCACCACAUUUCUAUGUCGGUAGCAUGUUGGGCGUAUCAAUGGAAAAUCAAAUAUGCCGAUCUGAAGAAAACAAACAAAAGCGAGGUCGCAGAUUUAAUUUGGCAGGAGCUUGGUAUUCAGCGGUGUUUACUUAGAGUAAAAUACACGACUUUGCUAGA
rnacentral:misc_RNA from 1 species